GAUCCACCUCUGAUGUUCAGUGAAGAGGACCAGAAAAGUCUGCUAGAGCAGUACCAUCUGGGUCUGGAUCAAAAACGCAGAAAAUACGUGGUUGGAGAGCUCAUCUGGAAUUUUGCCGAUUUCAUGACUAACCAGUCCAAGGAUGAAGGAAAAACUGGACCUCAUUAUGGAUUUACUUUUGGGAUACACUCAUUAUUCCAGAGGAGGGUAAAAGGCUGAGAAGCUUAAGGUAUUUCAGUCUGUUUUAUGUUACUCAUUUGCGAAAAGCAGGCUCAUCGAAUACAGGUGAGUUUCAACGCGUCUUGAAUAUGGCAGCAUUUAAAAGUCUUCAGACCAGGCAUGGUGGCUCAU
rnacentral:lncRNA from 10 species